CCUACGGGAGGCUGCAGUGAGGAAUAUUGGUCAAUGGGCGCGAGCCUGAACCAGCCAAGUAGCGUGCAGGACGACUGCUCUACGGGUUGUAAACUUCUUUUAUAAAGGAAUAAAGUGAGGCACGUGUGCCUUUUUGUAUGUACUUUAUGAAUAAGGAUCGGCUAACUCCGUGCCAGCAGCCGCGGUAAUACGGAGGAUCCGAGCGUUAUCCGGAUUUAUUGGGUUUAAAGGGAGCGUAGAUGGUUUGUUAAGUUAGUGGUGAAAGUUCGCGGCUCAACAGUAGAGUUGCAAUUGAUACUGGCAGACUAGAGUACAGUUGAGGUAGGCGGAAUUCGUGGUGUAGCGGUGAAAUGCUUAGAUAUCACGCAGAACACCGAUUGCGAAGGCAGCUUACUAGGCUGCCUCUGACAUUGAUGCUCGAAAGUGUGGGUAUCAAACAGGAUUAGAUACCCUUGUAGUC
rnacentral:rRNA from 1 species